rnacentral:rRNA from 1 species
GAUGAACGCUGGCGGCGUGCCUAAUACAUGCAAGUCGAGCGAACGGACGAGAAGCUUGCUUCCCUGAUGUUAGCGGCGGACGGGUGAGUAACACGUGGAUAACCUACCUAUAAGACUGGGAUAACUUCGGGAAACCGGAGCUAAUACCGGAUAAUAUUUUGAACCGCAUGGUUCAAAAGUGAAAGACGGUCUUGCUGUCACUUAUAGAUGGAUCCGCGCUGCAUUAGCUAGUUGGUAAGGUAACGGCUUACCAAGGCAACGAUGCAUAGCCGACCUGAGAGGGUGAUCGGCCACACUGGAACUGAGACACGGUCCAGACUCCUACGGGAGGCAGCAGUAGGGUAUCUUCCGCAAUGGGCGAAAGCCUGACGGAGCAACGCCGCGUGAGUGAUGAAGGUCUUCGGAUCGUAAAACUCUGUUAUUAGGGAAGAACAUAUGUGUAAGUAACUGUGCACAUCUUGACGGUACCUAAUCAGAAAGCCACGGCUAACUACGUG